UACAGAGGGUGCAAGCGUUGUUCGGAAUUAUUGGGCGUAAAGAGCGUGUAGGCGGCCAGACAGGUCCGUUGUGAAAACUAGAGGCUUAACCUCUAGACGUCGAUGGAAACCGUCUGGCUAGAGUCCGGAAGAGGAGAAUGGAAUUCCUGGUGUAGCGGUGAAAUGCGCAGAUAUCAGGAAGAACACCCGUGGCUAAGGCGGUUCUCUAGUACGGUACUGACGCUGAGACGCGAAAGCGUGGGGAGCGAACAGG
rnacentral:rRNA from 1 species